GACGAACGCUGGCGGCGUGCUUAACACAUGCAAGUCGAACGGAAAGGCCCCCUUGGGGGUACUCGAGUGGCGAACGGGUGAGUAACACGUGAGUAACCUGCCCUUGACUUCGGGAUAACUUCAGGAAACUGGGGCUAAUACCGGAUAGGAAUCCUUGCUGCAUGGUGGGGGUUGGAAAGCUUCGGCGGUUUUGGAUGGACUCGCGGCUUAUCAGCUUGUUGGUGGGGUAGUGGCUUACCAAGGCUUUGACGGGUAGCCGGCCUGAGAGGGCGACCGGCCACAUUGGGACUGAGAUACGGCCCAGACUCCUACGGGAGGCAGCAGUGGGGAAUAUUGCACAAUGGGCGGAAGCCUGAUGCAGCAACGCCGCGUGCGGGAUGACGGCCUUCGGGUUGUAAACCGCUUUCAGCAGGGGCGAAGCUUUUGUGACGGUACCUGCAGAAGAAGCACCGGCUAACUACGUG
rnacentral:rRNA from 1 species